GAUGAACGCUGGCGGCGUGCCUAAUACAUGCAAGUCGAGCGAACAGAUGAGGAGCUUGCUCCUCUGACGUUAGCGGCGGACGGGUGAGUAACACGUGGAUAACCUACCUAUAAGACCGGGAUAACUUCGGGAAACCGGAGCUAAUACCGGAUAAUAUAUUGAACCGCAUGGUUCAAUAGUGAAAGACGGUUUUGCUGUCACUUAUAGAUGGAUCCGCGCCGCAUUAGCUAGUUGGUAAGGUAACGGCUUACCAAGGCAACGAUGCGUAGCCGACCUGAGAGGGUGAUCGGCCACACUGGAACUGAGACCCGGUCCAGAAUCCUACGGGAGGCAGGCGUAGGGAACAUUCCGCAAUGGGCGAAAGCCUGACGGAGCAACGCCGCGUGAGUGAUGAAGGUCUUCGGAUCGUAAAACUCUGUUAUUAGGGAAGAACAAAUGUGUAAGUAACUAUGCACGUCUUGACGGUACCUAAUCAGAAAGCCACGGCUAACUACGUG
rnacentral:rRNA from 1 species